AGAUUUUUUUAAUGCCGAGAAAAGUCCAUGCCACAGAAGUUAUUGUGUAUGUCUCUAGGGAGCUUUAAGAAUUUCACGUUUGAACUUUACAGCUGUUUACCAAUUAAAUGGCAAGCUGGAAAAAUACAUUUUGAGAGGGGUAGAAAGAAUAAGAAUAUAAUUAAAAGUAUGCUAACAAAAUAAGCAGUACAUAUUUUUUUAGAAAAUGCAGUUUAGGCCAGGCACGGUAGCUCGUGCCUGUAAUCCCAGCACUUUGGGAGGCCGAGGCAGGUGGAUCACCUGAGGUCAGGAGUUUGAGACCAGCCUGGACAACAUGGUGAAACCCCGUCUCUACUAAAAAUACAAAAAAUUAGCCAACGAUGGUGAUGCCUGUCUGUAAUCCCAGCUACUCUGGAGGCUGAGGCAGGAGAAUCGCUUGAACCGGGGAGGCAGAGGUUGUAGUGAGCCAAGAUUGCGCCACUGCACUCCAGCCUGGGCAACAGAGCAAGACUCCGUCUCAAAAAAGGAAAGAAAAUGCAGUUUCAUUCCAGCCAUCCUUAGAUUUCUUUUCCCCUUAAAGUGGCUGAAUCCAUUGGAGAUGUGAUUUAUUUUGCAGAUCCACCAAUUCCAAACUUCAGGAAUAUUCAAGCGGGAGUCAUGUGUAAGUGACAGCUUUGACAAAGAGAGACUGUGGCUGGGUGGCCCGGGUGUUGCCCACGCGGAGCAAGGAUUGGUUCAUUCAACGGAUGGAGAGUACAGGAUGGCUGGGACCUGGGAAGUUCCAGAAUCUGAAAAGAGGGCAGGGCAAGAAGGAGCCAGAAGAGAGGUCCCACCCCUCAGUUGGCAGUGGGGCACGGAGGUCCGCAUCAGCCAAGAACGUCCCCAGGAUGCCGUGGGCACCUCAUUUCACCCCACGUUUUUGGCACAGUCUACUUUUUAGGUAUUUUGUAAAGGAACUUCUCAGGAUUGAUUAUUUGCCAGAGGAACAAUUAGGCCAAGAGAAACUUGCUUGACAGCCAUGUGUAAAACACGUCUGUCCUAAUCAAACUAGAGAUGCCUCAAGGCCCACGCAGGACACAGGCAGGUUCAAGGUCAUGCACCUGGAAAUUUGUAGGGGAGGGUCAAGCAACUGAGGCCAAAGGGGGCCGGUAAAGUGGCUUCUGGGGUCUGAGCAUCUGGAAGGCUCCUGGCAGCAGUUACCUGACAGUGUCGUUGAGGGGCACGGCAGCUGGGCCCUCACCGUUUCCGCCAGCUCUGCUGAGCCAGCCCAGCCCAUGCAUUCCGAACAUCCGACAGCUUCUUUCUCCAGAAUGUCUUCUGUCAGAGACUUCCAGGAAAGGAGCUCCCUCCUGUCUCACUGCUGUCAGCGUGGGAGCCCUGCUCCCCAGGCUCCACGUCCCCGGAAGGUCCAUCUUGUCCUGGAGCACACCCAGCCCCAUUCAGGGUCAGUGCAGGAGGGAACAGGGAAUCUGCAUUUCAGUAAGCUCCCCAGGUGAGGCUGCAGAGCAGAAACCACGGCUUUCAGACGUGAGCAGGCUCCCUGGGCUCUUGGUGUCACCCUGUUAGCCACAUCUGCGGAAUGUGGAAGGCAGAACAUAGCCACGCUGCUUAGUGCUGCCAGCGAACCUCAGGUUGCAUCAGUGGCUGGAAUCUAUCACAGCUGUUGGGGAUACGUAACUCCCAGCAAUAAAUCCAGUAUUUUCUUCCCUGCCCUGAGCUUCCUCUGGGUUUCUUAUCAGCAGCUAUUACACACAGAUGUCCAGUGCUUCUAAACUAAAUUGUACUGUGUAACUUUUACAUCACACUUGUGUGCUUAAAAAGCACACCGUGGGUAGUGACUGGGCCAAGAGACAUCACAAAGCUUCCUGAUAAAUUUGAAUCCAGCCACGGCAAGAGCGACGUGCGGGUACCUGGUCCCUGAUGCUUGGGUGCCCCGUUGAGCCUCGGGUACUUCUUGGACACUAUUGUGAGAGCAGCCAUCCUGGUGUCUCUGCCAGCAUCUUGGGGAACGCUGUGAUGGUAAAAUAUCUGUCUCUCCUCUGGGAAUCAGGGCAGCCCUGAGAAGUGAGCAGUUCCCUUUACAGAUGGAUAAUUGUUUGUGUAAGACCAACCAGAUAAAGUCCAAACUGUGUAGAACACACGUGUGCCUCACACAUAGCCAUCUGAGUAAAAUAUUUUUUCCAAUGUAGAUUUAUAAUUAGAAAUGACAGAUUUAUAAUAUAGACUUCAGUAAGUUGGGCACAGCUGUCACUUUCGUGGUAUCAAUAAAAGGCUAGAAACCUUGGGUGUCCUUGGCAACCUAGCCUUUGACAUUGAUGUUUUUCCAUAGGAUUUUCUUCAUUUGGGUUGGAAUAAAAAUGCAUUUUUAUUCACAAGGCACAGACAGAUAAGAAUAUCAUAAGCAGGGAAGUGUCUCCAAAGGUCAGGACAUAUGUUUUUCUGUUGAGUGCUAUAUGUGGAGGUCAUUGCAAGUUCCCUGAUAUGAGUAUGGUUUCGCUUGCUACAUUGUGCCUAUUAAAGUAAAAUUUUACACAAGCCUCGCAUUUCUAAGAUUAGUGUUCCUGAAUGAAAUGUUAAGAAAACAUUAAAAGAUUAUCUCUUUUUAAGAUGGAGGAAAAAAAGUGAACAAAGCUAAUUAAUCUAUCAUGAAAAUUGCACAAAAUAACAUUUCUUAACAAAUUUAAUACAAUUUUGUGUUCUUUGUUGCUAGUGGUAUAAAACGAGAUUUUUUUCCCUCAUUUUUCUCAUUGUAGAUGUCAUCUCUCACAUUUAUAUCAGUGAGGUUUGAAAUUCUGUGUAGCAGUUACUCAGCACAUAUGAGAGGGCAGCGAAUGAAUGAGAUUUGUCAUGUGCUAAUAAAAGCUGAAUUUUUGUAAUCUAAAAUGAUGUAUUUUCUACUAUUGCUGUUAAUUUGCAUUGUUAAAAAUUCUUAAAGUUUAAUAUGUUAUGUUCAGUCAUUGAAAGCGACCACUCAUUUUUUUCUUAAAGUUGAUGCCUUUUCUGCUGUGCUAGAGUCAGUAUUUUGCUUCUGGCAGGAGAGCUGCAAACUGUGUAUCCUCAAACAGAUGCAAAAAGUAGUGCUUUGCAAAACGUUUGUUUUCUGUUUAUCUCAGAUUAACAUCCUUUAAUACAAGUUUCUUAAGUGUAACUUGUAUUUCUGAAAAUGCUUAAAAUUAUUUUAUAUUUCCCUUUGGGAAUUUUUCUCUAUUUCCAGCACGCUGAUUUGAUUUAAAAAUGUAAUAAGACCAAGAGUUGGAGUAAAGGGAUAUUCAUUCCAUGUUAAAAGUGGCUUCAUAGCUACUGACAAAUGUCUGAACUAUUGUCGUGCCCUUCAAAACUGGAGUUUUCUAAAAUAAUCUUAUUUUUAUACUUGUAUGUUCCAGCAAUUUAAGAUAUAUACCAUUGAAAGGGAAAUAAAACAUUUUUGUUUAUUUGAAUAAAUAAUACUCCC
rnacentral:lncRNA from 10 species